rnacentral:sRNA from 1 species
AAUAUGAAUUGAUGUCAUGUGUAUGAUUGAGUAUAAGAACUUAAACCACAACCGGAG